GACGAACGCUGGCGGCGUGCUUAACACAUGCAAGUCGAACGGAAAGGCCCUGCUUUUGUGGGGUGCUCGAGUGGCGAACGGGUGAGUAACACGUGAGUAACCUGCCCUUGACUUUGGGAUAACUUCAGGAAACUGGGGCUAAUACCGGAUAGGAGCUCCUGCUGCAUGGGGGGGGUUGGAAAGUUUCGGCGGUUGGGGAUGGACUCGCGGCUUAUCAGCUUGUUGGUGGGGUAGUGGCUUACCAAGGCUUUGACGGGUAGCCGGCCUGAGAGGGUGACCGGCCACAUUGGGCCUGAGAUACGGCCCAGACUCCUACGGGCGGCAGCAGUGGGGAAUAUUGCACAAUGGGCGGAAGCCUGAUGCAGCAACGCCGCGUGCGGGAUGACGGCCUUCGGGUUGUAAACCGCUUUCGCCUGUGACGAAGCGUGAGUGACGGUAAUGGGUAAAGAAGCAACGGCUAACUACGUG
rnacentral:rRNA from 1 species